UACGUAGGGUGCGAGCGUUGUCCGGAUUUAUUGGGCGUAAAGAGCUCGUAGGCGGUUUGUCGCGUCUGCUGUGAAAACUGGAGGCUCAACCUCCAGCCUGCAGUGGGUACGGGCAGACUAGAGUGAUGUAGGGGAGACUGGAAUUCCUGGUGUAGCGGUGAAAUGCGCAGAUAUCAGGAGGAACACCGAUGGCGAAGGCAGGUCUCUGGGCAUUAACUGACGCUGAGGAGCGAAAGCAUGGGGAGCGAACAGG
rnacentral:rRNA from 1 species